rnacentral:rRNA from 1 species
CCUACGGGAGGCAGCAGUGGGGGAUAUUGCACAAUGGGGGGAACCCUGAUGCAGCGACGCCGCGUGGGUGAAGAAGCGCCUCGGCGCGUAAAGCCCUGUCAGCAGGGAAGAAAAUGACGGUACCUGAAGAAGAAGCCCCGGCUAACGACGUGCCAGCAGCCGCGGUAAUACGUAGGGGGCAAGCGUUAUCCGGAUUUACUGGGUGUAACGGGGGCGCAGACGGCGAUGCAAGCCAGGAGUGAAAGCCCGGGGCCCAACCCCGGGACUGCUUUUGGAACUGCGUGGCUGGAGUGCAGGAGGGGCAGGCGGAAUUCCUGGUGUAGCGGUGAAAUGCGUAGAUAUCAGGAGGAACACCGGUGGCGCAGGCGGCCUGCUGGACUGCAACUGACGUUGAGGCCCGAAAGCGUGGGGAGCAAACAGGAUUAGAUACCCCUGUAGUC